AGUAAUUGAUUUUUAGGAAAAUGACAUUCUGAAAUUAAUGAAUGCAUAUGAAGUUUCAAGUGUAAUUUCCAGAAAUUUAGUGAAUUAAGAUAAUUUUACUUCUUUAAACGGUCAACUCUACUAUUUAACCAAACAAGACAACCAGCAUCAAAUAACAUGGGAACAGAGAGAACCAAUCUGGUAAUAUGCACGUAAAGGAAGUGAAGAAUAUAUCUUGGAGCUGGUUUACAAAUCCAAUUAAAAGAGGUAAAAACAUUCCUAAUACUAAGUUAAAGAGAAAAGGUACUGUGCAGAGAAGUAAGAGGAAGCACAAACAGCAUAUUACACUAUCAUGGGAGAGAGCAAGAAUAAAAAUGUGGAAAUGGCUCAUUGCAUGAAGGAAAUCCUGUUAUUACCAGUAACAUACUAUAAAAGAAAUGGUGAAAACAGAUUAUAUCGUAUAACCGUAAAGCAGAUUUUAACAUAACAUUUAUAAUACAGAGAAGUGACAAAGAAACUUAACUUACCCAAAGCCCCCAGAACACAAACCUGCACUUAAGAGAGAUGACCCACAUUACAUGCAAAAAGACUAUCAUAACCCUCAAAGUUCUACUUCUAUUUCUUCCAACCUUUAGAUACCUGGAAGUACCAAAUGGAAUUUCACUCUAAAAACUUCUAUGAAAUAUUUCCACGUCAUUGAAAACAUCCAAUAUAUCCAUCACAAAAGAAGCUCACAAAUCAAAAUCUACACGUAUGAGGAUCUCAACUAGUAAAGUAAAAAAAAGGUUCCCUUCUUUCACUGAAACAUUUUUACUGGUGAAAAUCAUGUCAAAUAAAAAACACUGACAUAUAGGUCCUUAUAAUCUCUCUAGACCUUACUUUUAACAUUUUAAAAUAUUAUCAGGUUUGACAGCCACUCAGAGGGAUCAGACAUCUGCAGCCUUUCCCUUUUGCAAAAAGCUAUUAAUCUAUUACAUUGUGCAUAUAAGGUCUGCUCAUGCUCUGAACAAAAUAUCAUCCUGGUAUUUGUGACUUUUUGUGGCAGAGUUUUGCCAGUGUACUAGUUAUCUCAGCCAAUAUCUUCCCACUGUUAUUUCAUCUUGAUAACUUCGUGUUUCCUGGCACCGUAACAUGGUGUGUCAUGGCAAGAUUUGAGUAUAUAGCCAAUGUUGAAACCAUUCUGUGAAUGGUCAAAAUGACAGAAUCCUUUCAAGUCCUAUAGUGCUCUUUUAAAAAACCUUUCAACUUCAGAAGACUAAUUAAUAGUAAGAAAAAUAAAAGAAAAACUCACUUGAGAUGGAUAUCACAAUGUCAUUGCAAAUGAGAAUCACACCUAACAACUAUUCCAUUCACAAAUCCACGUAUGUUGUCCAUGCAAUGCCAGAUUCCUCUCAUCCCUUACCUUGAAACUUCCAAUCUCACUAGGAAUGCUCAAAGGAGGAAUGUAAUAAUUCACUAUGUGGCAAGCAAUUAAAAUGUUACCUUCCUAAAUACUUUGAGCUGUAGAUUGAUGCUCAGAUAUGAGUAACACAGUAAGAAUUAGCCUACCAAUUAUUGUUACACAAACGCAAUAUAUUCUUCUAGCAAUUUCCUUGUUACAGAAAAUCAAUUGAUCCUUUCUAAUAGAACAUUCUUGUACAAUUCUUUAUUCAACAAUUUGAAUCCACCCCUUCCUUUUUCUCCCCCCAAAUAAUAAAAAUUAUUAAGACUUCAAAUAAUAGUUCAGUGAUUGCAAAGUGAAAGUUCUAAUUAGUCGAUUUAUUUAGACUCAACUUGACGAAUUACAUAAUCAAGAAUUAUUUACCUUCCUAAAAUAAUUUGAGCUGUAGAUUGAUGUGCAGAUAUGAGUAACACAGUAAGAAUUAGCCUACCAAUUAUUGUUACACAGACGCAAUAUAUUCUUCUAGUAAUCUCCUUGUUACAGAAAAUCAAUUGAUCCAUUCUAAUAGAACAUUCUUGUACAAUUCUUUAUUCAUCAAUUUGAGUCCAUCCCUUCCUAUUUCUCCCCCAAAUAAUAAAACUUAUUAAGACUACAAAUAAUAGAUCAGUGAUUGCAAAUUGGAAGUUCUAAUUAGCCGAUUUAUUGAGAUCCAACGUGCGGAAUUCCCUAUUAAAAAUAACAAGUCACUAAUUGUUUCCAGGUGAUUAGUCAAUCAAGUUCAAUUAUCCCAUGUUUUGAUGGUUUGAAUGCCACAAUCAAU
rnacentral:lncRNA from 1 species